UUCAUCAGAUUUGGAUAUUUCUACACCGUUAAACUUGUAACCGGCUCACCACGGCCGUUAAAAUUAUUGAUUUUGAGCCUCUUCGAUCACUAGGCAAAUGAUAUCGAAAAAUCGCAAAAUUUAUUUUCUAGGUACUUCAAAUACUCUAGAUCAACUCUAACAGAGCCGAUCGUCGAUUCGAAAGUCCGAACAUCGAAAACGGCUUGGAAGCACGGAGGCCUCCGUGCUUCCAUAAGCAUACCAGCACAACUAUAUAUAUAUAUAUAUAUAUAUAUAUAUGAGUAGGACUGCUAUGCUCUCAGGAGCACGGAGGCCGCACGGAGGCCUCCGUGCUCCUGAGCCGUUUUCGAUGAUGGAAUUUUCGAAUCGACGAUCGGCUCCGUUAGAUUUGAUCUAGCGUAUUUGAAGUUUCUAGAAAAUAAUUUUUGCGAUUUUUCAAUAUCAUUUAACUAACAAUCGAAAGGUAUCAAAAUCAAUAAUUUUUAACGGCUGAAAAUAAAAAUCUUAUAAAAAGUGGUGAUAUAGCACUAAAAUUUUCAAUCAGAAAUAUUAAUUUUGUUGUAGAUAGUAUAAAGAAUUUUGUAUUAAAAUUUCAUUUGAUUUGAAUACUUCUACACCGUUAAACUUGAAAACGACAAAUAUCAAACCAUUAAAAAUUAUUGAUUUUGAAUCUUUUCGAUCACUAAGUAAAUAAUAUCAAAAAAUAGCAAAAAUUAUUUUCUAAAAACUUUAAAUAUCCUAGAUCAAGUCUAGCAGAGCCGAUCGUCGAUUCGAAAAUUCCAUCAUCGAAAACAGCUCAGGAGCACGGAAGCCUCCGUAUUCCUGAGAGCACAGCAGCUCUGCUAUAUAUAUAUAUAGUAGAGCUACUAUACUAACGAAAGUAUAAAGUAGUUGGUCCUUUCGAUUUGUUAUCCUUUGGAUCAAAGACUCUACGGUUGGGAUGAUAACUGUCCUCUAAGGGUUGAGUGGUCCCUAGGGUUGAGUGGUCCCUAUUGGUUAAUAAUAUUAAUCCAAUAAUUAGAUAUGAUCAAUGGGAUUAAUUUAAGAACUGAAAAAUCAAAAGCACCAACUAUUUUAUGCUUCCAAUAGCAUAGUAGCUCUACUCUCUCUCUCUCUCUCUCUCUCUCUCUCUAUAUA
rnacentral:lncRNA from 1 species